UCUUAUUUUCUAAUUUUUAAUUGAAAAUUUAUAUGUGAUCCCUACGUACGAUUUUUGAAUUUUUUUGCACACUUACGUAAAAAGUAUGUCUAAAUAGUGCUCAUUAAUAAAAUUUCUCAUUACUAAUUGUUUGAGGUACAAAAGCUAAAAUGACUAUACUAAAAUUCAAGAUAAGUAAGGCAGCAAAAAAAAAAAAAAAUUAUGAAGGAAGGGGAAUUUUUGGCGGGAGAUGGCAAUAGAGCAGGCAAAGCAAAGUUAAAGAACAACAAUAAAACAUACAGUGAAGGAUAUUAACGCACACGUGUGUACUAUUUUAAGGAUUUCUAUUUUCCUUUUCUUUGGUGCAUUAGAAAUGGUCUAUAAGACAGUUCUUCAACAUUUCGCAAGACAGACUUCAUCAAAGAAGCCGUCUGCUGGAGAAGCCGUCUAUGUGGCCUACGGCCACUACUACUACUACUACUACGUAGUAGUAACCGACCUACGGUUUUUAUUCAUGUAUGUUGUGUAUUGUCUUGUAUGUAUUGUAUGUAUUGUCUUGUAAAAAUGUAAAAGUUAGUGGUGGAUUUGUGGGUGGAUGGAGGGACAAUGAAGUCUUUUAUUUGUA